UUAGUAACGGCGAGUGAAAAGGGAUGAGCCUAGCGCUGAAUCUCUCGGUCUAAGGCCGCUGAGAACUGUAGCGUAUAGGUUUGACUGUCUGUUUGCUAUGUAUUCUCCAAGUUCCUUUGAUAGGGGCUAGUUCAGUCCCGAGAGGGUGCUAGACCUGUGCGAGAAUUGUAGUGAGCAGUUGGUUGUUCCUUGGAGUCGUGUUGCUUGAAAGUGCAGCAUAAAGUAGGUGAUAGACUUCAUCUAAGGCUAAAUAUAACCAUGAAUUCGAUAGCUAACAAGUACCGCGAGGGAAAGUUGCAAAGAACUUUGAAGAGAGAGUUCAAGAGAACGUGAAAUCGCUGGAGUAUGCGGAGAGAGUUGACGUAACCCGGUAGCUAAGUUGUUCUUCGGAGCGAUGGUGCUGCUUAUGGUUGCAUUGGUGGCGUUGGUUAGCAACGACAGCUGCGUAGUUUAGCCCACUUCGGUGGUGUCUAGCUUGUGGUCUUGUUGUUGUCGGCUAGCGUGUAAGCCCUGUUCACAGGGUGCCA
rnacentral:rRNA from 1 species